CCGUGCUAGGUGGGGAGGUAGCGGUGCCCUGUUGCUCGCAAUCCGCUAUAGCGGGACUGAAUCCCUGCUCCAGGCUCCCCGGUUGUGAGGUCGGUUGUUGCGCAAGUGGUGUUGAAGGUCGGGUCCUGCGCAACGGAAACUCGUGAACCCCGUCAGGUCCGGGAGGAAGCAGCGGUAAACGGGCUAUUCCGUGUGCCGUGGGGAAGCCUGGCUGGAGCUAACUACGUAGCAGCGCUUGGGGCCGGAUGUCAAAAGCAGGUGCACGG
rnacentral:SRP_RNA from 7 species